rnacentral:rRNA from 1 species
CAGUCGCCGCGGUAAUACGUAGGGUGCAAGCGUUAAUCGGAAUUACUGGGCGUAAAGCGUGCGCAGGCGGUUAUAUAAGUCAGAUGUGAAAUCCCCGGGCUCAACCUGGGAACUGCAUUUGAGACUGUAUAGCUAGAGUGUGUCAGAGGGGGGUAGAAUUCCACGUGUAGCAGUGAAAUGCGUAGAUAUGUGGAGGAAUACCGAUGGCGAAGGCAGCCCCCUGGGAUAACACUGACGCUCAUGCACGAAAGCGUGGGGAGCGAACAGGAUUAGAUACCCGAGUAGUCCCUGUCUCUUAUAC